rnacentral:lncRNA from 1 species
AUGGGGGGUCACCUGAGGCCAGGGAAAAGGGGGAGAGCUUUUGAUAGAGGCGGCCUCGUUCUCAAUCUCUCCGGGUGGGUGGUGGCCUCUAGGAAGGAACUAACAUUACGAAAAGUUAAUGUUUUCCAACUUUUGGGUCAUCGGCACCCUCAUGUGCCGUGGCACAUCUCUGGGCAUUUGAGCCCCCUUCCCCUCCCCAGAAAAUAUACAUUCCAUGGCGGGAAGCGGUUUGGCGUUGGGGGAGAGAGAGUCCAAAGCCGGAGGGGGGAAUGUUCUGGGUUUUUGGUUUGUUUUCCCAGAAGAACAUUCUUGGGCGAGCCCGCCAGGGCGCAUGGAUCACAGAACUGCUAUUUCAGAGUGCCAAACGGGGGGGAGGGGGAGAGAAGGGGAGGCGGGGCAGGGGGAAUCUGUCCGCUCCUGAAGCUGUCAGGAAAAUUAACCAAAUUGUACUGUUGCCAUACGCUCCUCCCUUCUCCGAUAGGAGGCGUACUGCUGCCCAAGGCUGUUUGGGCCACGAGGGGCCCAUCGUUUCCCCCUGUUUAUUCAUUUAUUCAUCUCUUUCUCUUUUUCUCUCUGAACCGAGCUGUUAAUAAGGUGCUGAUGUCACAUGAUUUUGCUUUUGGUAUAUGGUAUAUCCUUCCUUCCUUUCUUUCUUUGUACUUUCUCAUUUCUUUCACUAUUAGCGCCUUCCUUCCUUCCAGCCUUUCAUCCAUCCAUCAUCAGCUCCUUCCUUCCCUCCUUCAUUUGAUCCAUCCAUCCAUCAUCAGCUCCUCCCUUCUCUCCUUCCUUUCAUCCAUCCAUCCAUCAUCAGCUCCUUCCUUCCCUCCUCCCUUUCAUCCAUCCAUUCAUCAUCAGCUGCUCCCUCCCUUCCUUGUUUUCCCGUUCUUCUUCCCACCCUCCCUCCCUUCCUUGUUUUCCCCUGUCCUUCCUUCCUUCCUUUCCCCGUUUUUCCUGCCUUCCUUCCAGAGAGGUUCUGGAGAGCUGAGGAUGGCAGGAAAAAGUGCCUGGGUGUUACAGAGUCAUACCCACAAGGGAUGUGUGAUUAUAACUUUCUUCCCCGCCAUGGUCUCAGAUCAGACUGUCUCCUGA